AAAUAAAAAGAAGCGAAAACAUUUAAAAGCUUGAUGUAUGGGAAUUUAAAGGAAGUGUUAAGAGGCAAAAUAAACUUAAAAAACCUUAAAUGGUGGCUCCGAUUGGACUCGAACCAACGACCACUACCA
rnacentral:antisense_RNA from 1 species